GGGGGAGGGACACAUUCCUCAGCUCGGCUCGGGCUGCGCGCUGCUACCGGGAGGGGAGCUCUGGAGGUUGGAUACAGCAAAUGCAAGAAUCCUGAUCACCACCUAAUGCGUGCUGCAGGUGUGAAGCUGAAAGUCCAUUGCCUCCUUUCCAAGACAGGUGCAGUGGCUGAAGAAACCAGGGUCCUCAGCUGCUCCUCGUACAUCUUGCCCUCUCGACCCUUCUCCGUCUUCAUAGUGCUGCCCUGGAUGUGUGUCCUCCUCAUAUUGUGAUGCCCACAUCACAUCAAUGCUGGCUACAGAAGACAGAGGGUGGUAGUUCCAAAAAGUCAU
ensembl:lncRNA